GAUGAACGCUGGCGGCGUGCCUAACACAUGCAAGUCGAGCGAAAAGACGAGGAGCUUGCGCCUCUGACGAUAGCGGAGGACGGGUGUGAAACACGUGGAAAACGCACCUAUAAGUCUGGGAUAACUACGGGAAACGGGAGAUAACACGGGAGAAUAUCUUGAACCGCGUGGGGCGAUAGAGAGAGACGGCUGUGGGGGAUCUAAUAGAGGGAUCUGGGCCGGAUUAGCUGGUUGGGAAGUUAAAGGCUUAUCAAGGCAAGGAUGCGUAGGCGAGCUGACGGGGUGAUAGGCCACACUGGAGCUGAGACACGCACAAGACUCCUACGAGAGGCAGCAGUAGGGAAUCGGACGCAAUAGGCGAAAGCUUGACGGAGUGAGGCCGCGUCUGUUAUGACGGCCUUCGGAUCGUAAUACCCUCUUAUGAGUGAAAAACAGAUGUGGAAGUAACUAUGCCCGUCUUGACGGUACCUGAUCAGAAAGCCACGGCUAACUACGUG
rnacentral:rRNA from 1 species